CCGAGUUUACAACUCCCAAACCCACUGUGAACCUUACCUAUCGUUGCUUCGGCGGGACCGCCCCGGCGCCGACUCAGGCCCGGACCCAGGCGCCCGCCGGAGGCCCGAAACUCUAUUGUCUUUUUAAGUAUUCAAGCUCUGAUUGCAAAAAAACAAUAAAUCA
rnacentral:misc_RNA from 1 species